GUUGUGAUUGGGAUGGAAGUGGCUGCUUCUGAGUUUUAUGGUAAAGACAAGACUUAUGAUCUAAACUUUAAAGAAGAGAAUAAUGAUGGCUCACAAAAGAUAUCAGGUUAUGACUGAAGGCUCUCAUUUCAUUGGAAAGUUUGGAAGCUACUGCAAGUUCUUUCUACUUGCUAGGGAUGAGAAUAUUUUAGUUUGUGCACAAGAGAAACUUUUAAGUUUGUGCACAUGAGAAUCUUUCAAGUUUGUAUUUGUUAGGGAUUUGUUAUGUUAGUACUUGUUACUGACUUUUAGUUCAACAAAUUAUAUUUGAGUAUUGACUUUU